rnacentral:rRNA from 1 species
GACGAACGCUGGCGGCGUGCUUAACACAUGCAAGUCGAACGGAGUGGCGAACGGGUGAGUAACACGUGGGUGAUCUGCCUUGCACUUCGGGAUAAGCUUGGGAAACUGGGUCUAAUACCGGAUAGUGCAAGAUGAGCUCGCGGCCUAUCAGCUUGUUGGUGGGGUAAUGGCCUACCAAGGCGUCGACGGGUAGCCGGCCUGAGAGUGUGUACGGCCACAUUGGGACUGAGAUACGGCCCAGACUCCUACGGGAGGCAGCAGGGGGGAAUAUUGCACAAUGGGCGGAAGCCUGAGGCAGCGACGCCGCGUGGGGGAUGAAGGCCUUCGGGUUGUAAACUCCUUUCGACAGGGACGCGGUACUUAACCAGAAAGGGACGGCUAACUACGUGCCAGCCGCCGCGGUAAUUC